CUUGGUUUCUGACCCAGACGCCGAUGGAACCAGGAGGAGCUGAUGAGCAGAAACGAAUCGUUUCGUCUGGCCUGGACCAGUUCCUUGGUUCCCACACGAGCCGCUGGUAUCGACGUUAAAGCCACCAAAGCAGCGCUGCUCAGACGCUGCUCGUUAUAAUUGGGAGCAUUUUGACAGUGUGUCUCAUGUUCCUGGUCGGGUCUUUGUCCAGCUGUCGUCUGUGUGCUCUGUCAGUCUCAUCCUUGGUUUAACCGGUUGCUACCGGUGUCGAGUCCUGGUUCCUGCUCAGCCGUGGGGCCCAGAAUAUGUGGAUUAUAUUGGACUGAGUUAUUUUCUGGAUUUACUUUAUUAAACCAUAAUUUCUCAUCUCA